ACCACCUGACGAAUCCCGAAUAGGACGAAACACACGUCCUGGAU
rnacentral:hammerhead_ribozyme from 1 species